rnacentral:rRNA from 1 species
AGAGUUUGAUCAUGGCUCAGAACGAACGCUGGCGGCAUGCCUAACACAUGCAAGUCGAACGAGACCUUCGGGUCUAGUGGCGCACGGGUGCGUAACGCGUGGGAACCUGCCUUUAGGUUCGGAAUAACUCAGAGAAAUUUGUGCUAAUACCGUAUGAUGCCUCCGGGCCAAAGAUUUAUCGCCCAAGGAUGGGCCUGCGUCGGAUUAGGUAGUUGAUGAGGUAAUGGCUCACCAAGCCUGCGAUCCGUAGCUGUCUGAGAGGAUGAUCAGCCACACUGGGACUGAGACACGGCCCAGACUCCUACGGGAGGCAGCAGUGGGGAAUAUUGGACAAUGGGCGCAAGCCUGAUCCAGCAAUGCCGCGUGAGUGAUGAAGGCCUUAGGGUUGUAAAGCUCUUUCACCGGGGAAGAUAAUGACGGUACCCGGAGAAGAAGCCCCGGCUAACUCCGUG